rnacentral:rRNA from 1 species
UACGUAGGGUGCAAGCGUUAAUCGGAAUUACUGGGCGUAAAGCGUGCGCAGGCGGCUUUGCAAGACAGAUGUGAAAUCCCCGGGCUUAACCUGGGAACUGCAUUUGUGACUGCAUGGCUGGAGUGCGGCAGAGGGGAUGGAAUUCCGCGUGUAGCAGUGAAAUGCGUAGAUAUGCGGAGGAACACCGAUGGCGAAGGCAAUCCCUGGGCCUGCACUGACGCUCAUGCACGAAAGCGUGGGGAGCAA